CCAUCUGUACAUCUUUGGAUGCAACUACUUCUGGAUGCUUUGUGAAGGGAUUUACUUGCACACACUCAUUGUUGUGGCAGUUUUUGCUGAAAAACAGCAUUUAAUGUGGUACUACCUUCUUGGAUGGGGUUUCCCACUUAUACCCGCUACAAUACAUGCUGUAGCCAGAAGUUAUUACUACAAUGAUAAUUGUUGGAUCAGCUCAAGCACUUCUCUGCUAUACAUUAUUCAUGGCCCUAUCUGUGCAGCACUGCUGGU